rnacentral:rRNA from 1 species
UAAGACGAACCGUGCGAACGUUGUUCGGAUUCACUGGGCUUAAAGGGCGCGUAGGCGGGCUUUCAAGUCGGGGGUGAAAUCCCACAGCUUAACUGUGGAAGUGCCUCCGAUACUGGGAGCCUUGAGGGAGGUAGGGGUGUGUGGAACUUCCGGUGGAGCGGUGAAAUGCGUAGAUAUCGGAAGGAACGCCGGUGGCGAAAGCGACGCACUGGACCUCUUCUGACGCUGAGGCGCGAAAGCUAGGGGAGCAAACGGGAUUAGAUACCCCGGUAGUCCUAGCCCUAAACGAUGGGUACUAGGUAGUGGACCAGCAUGGGUUCCCUGCCGAAGCGAAAGUGAUAAGUACCCCGCCUGGGGAGUAUGGUCGCAAGGCUG